GAGAACCGUUGAUUCUGUCGACAUCUUGUGGUUAAACGUCGUAAUGGGUGAAAAAGAGAUUGUUUGAGCACUCUUUCAGCAACAUUUGGGUUUUGGACGAUUGUCUUCAGAUCCAAGGCUAAAUGUGACUGGGCUUUUGCUGUCAGGGCCCCUCAGCUUUAGAACUCCUGAAUAAGGAUCUUGGGCACGUAGAAUCAUUGAGAAAACAUCAGUUGUCCAGUUCAACAUAGUGCAGCCAUUGAAGACCCCAGAUCCCAGUUAACACACUGAAGCGCGGUAAUGGGAGCUUACAAGAGGGUGUCCUUGUGUCCCUGAUACAGGUUUGAUCCCAAGUAUUCCUAUCAAUACAGCUGGGCUUUUGUCAUUAAACCAGAUGUGCUAAAUUUAUUGUAGUAUCCUCUGCAAUAUUUUAACUUAAAAUGUAAUUUAAGCAUCCAGUUCCUUAGUGAAAUAUGAGACUAAUUUCUAUGAACUAAUAUGUUAUGCUUUAUUGUAAAAUACACUGUAUGAAAAAAAGGGGUUAAUUCUCUUCCAGUGAGCAUAGCUUUAACAAAAUAGCUUACGUUAUAUUCAGAAUAUAAACGUUUUUGCCUUCUUUAAAACAUGUUAAUAUUUUCCAAUACAGCACCAGUGUGUUUCUCCAAAAUACAAAAUAGUUCAUGUUCUUUGCAGUGAAAUAAGGUUCUUCUCUGCUUUUCUUGUUUCAGUGUUACUGAAGGAAACAUGCAGGGGAAAUAGUUAAGAUUAGAACCCAUUAAAUUUGUACCGGUUAACAAACACUUUAAUUGACAUUCGUUGAAGCACAGUGCAUUUGCCGUGUUGUGGUAUGUGACCAUGUACAAGAACAUUAUUGUUUUGAGAGCCAAGCACAUAGGGAGCCUUGGGAGGCUGAAACUGGAGCUGUGUGUCAGUGUAGCAAAGACCUGAAGGAUUUGGGGGUCAAACAAAAAGGUGCACUGGGGCCUGCGCCCCACUAUCGCAGCUGCCAGCCUCCAAGUACAGACGUGAGAGGCCCCGCUGUGGCACAAGGGUUUUACGUAGAGCUGGUAUCAGCAGCUCGGAAGUGGCUAAUACUGCACAGUUAUCACUCUGCUCCUUGAGAGCCACAGUUGCUUUCUCCUUGUCAUCACACAGACUCUGUUGCUGCUACAUUGCAUUUUCUCCCCAGUCAAAGCUCUCCUUGGCAGGGCUUGAGCCCCAGCACUGAGGCCUGGUGGCAGCUGAGGCCCGCGGCCCGGUCCCCCUGCGUGCCUCUGCGAGUGGUGGUCUGCUAUGCUUGUGCAGCAUUUGAAAGUGCUCCCACUG